UAUAACAUAACCCAGUCUUGGAUUUCGGGAAAAUUAUUUCCGGAUUGGUUUUCACAUCUAUAAUUUUCUUGAACGCCGAACCCGAUUGUAUUCUUCAUGCGAGGCGGUAAAUUUAUCCAAUCUUGACAUGUAUUUUAUGGAAGAAAUUCCGAUAUACUGCUUUGUUUUGAAGUACGACCUCUUUCUUCACAACAGCUCCAUGAAAGGGAUGAAGAAAAUAGGUGUAGAAAACAAACCUCAUCACCAGAAGUCUCUGAAGAAAGUGGUCGUGAAACUUAAAGAAGACCUAAAGGUCUCACCUGCAGAAAAUAUAGAAAAAUUUUUUAUGUACAGUUAAGGGACUGUGAAAUAUCAUAGAAGUCUCAAGAAAGGAGAGGGGUAUAUUCAGUUCUCCAGGAUGUUACCUUUAUAGUUUGAAAAACUGCCAAAAUGGAAAGGUUUUGACAUCACUGGAAGAUGGGACAGGACAGAGUUUUAAUGAAGAAGUUUGAUAUUUUAAAGAUGUGUUGCUUGUUAGGCAAGAAUCAUUACCGCAGCUUCCAAUUCCAUUGUCAAGAACAUCACAUAUAUAGAAAAGCCGAAGAACUUCUAUACCCAGUGAAAUAGCAGUUUUAUGUUUUGAUUGACUGAGUUAACAAAUUUGUUUUGCUCUUCAUCAGUAACUGUAUAAAUUAUAUAUUUUACAAGUUUGCUACAUAUUGCUAUAUGGUUUACAGGUAUAUAUUUAUACCUCUGCUCCGAAGGAGAGGGGGGUAUACUGUUUUACCCUUGUGUUCCUGUCUGUGUGUCUGUUGGUAACAAAUUUUCGUCGCAGUUUUCUCACCAAUUCCUUUUCUUGGAUGCUUAAUUGAAAUGUUAACACAAUCUUCUCUGAGGCAUGCCAUAUAGUGGGAUACAUUUUUAUUCAAAUUCGAUGUCAACUUCCUGUUUGUCUGUGCAUCCAUCAGUUUCAUACAUAACAAAUUUUCUCAUUAACUAUAUAUAGCAGAUGUUUGAAAUUGUACUACACUCUUUGUUUAGGCAUGCCAUAUGGUGGAAUUAAUUUUGAUAUGAAUCUUAUGUCAACUUCAUAUUUUUCUGUGGAUCUGCCUGUAAGUGUAUAUUAACAUGAUAGUGCUUAUUUACAUCAGAGCGGGGGUAUUACUAGUGAGCAUUGGCUCACAGAUUUCUUGUUUGAUCAGUAUCUGAUGAAAUUUAAUUGUUAUGACAUACAAAUGGACUCUAUCAGAGCUGAUCCAGUGUGUCUGGUUAAUGAAGAUAAACUCAUAAACCCUGUAAAUUUUGAGUUCAGUCAAAUUAAAUGCACUCCAGAUUGCUUUACUUGUAAUUCUUAUUUGAACCAUAGUUUACAU